rnacentral:hammerhead_ribozyme from 1 species
AUUCAGCUGACGAGUCCCAAAUGGGGCGAAAUGUGCGUCCGGGAU